rnacentral:rRNA from 1 species
ACACGCAUGACACACUGCAUAUCAAUAAGCGGAGGAAAAGAAACUAACAAGGAUUCCCUUAGUAACGGCGAGUGAAGCGGGAAGAGCUCAAAUUUGAAAUCUUAAAGGGUUUCCCUUUACGAAUUGUAGUUUAAAGAAGUGUUUUCUGUUGGAGUUUCGGUAAAAGUUCUUUGGAAUAGGACAUCAUAGAGGGUGAGAAUCCCGUAUUUGACCGUUACUUUCCAGCUGUGUGAUACACUUUCAAAGAGUCGGAUUGUUUGGGAAUGCAGUCCAAAAUGGGUGGUAAAUUUCAUCUAAAGCUAAAUAUUGGCGAGAGACCGAUAGCGAACAAGUACCGUGAGGGAAAGAUGAAAAGAACUUUGAAAAGAGAGUUAAACAGUACGUGAAAUUGUCAAAAGGGAAGCGUUUGACACCAGUGUUGUUUAGUUGAAAAUCAAUUCAAUAAUUUUUGAUUUUGAGUAGUAUUGACUUCAUCAGCUUGCUGCUUUCUUUUCCGAAAUUAUUGAAUGCACUUUUCAGUUAACAAGUCAACAUCAAUUUCUUUUGUUGUAAAAGGGUAAGAGGAAGGUGGCUUACGCUUCGGCGUAAGUGUUUAUAGCCUUUUACCUCUGCAAUCGGAGAGAUUGAGGACAGCAGCGUAGACUCCUUCGGGGGUUAGAUACACUUGUGCUAAGCUAUAGCCUUGUAUAGACAACUUGUUGACUAUGCUCAGUCAUGUAGCUUACUCGCUUAUGCUAUUUUACCUACGCUUAGGAUGUUGACUGAUAUGUAGUCGUA